rnacentral:rRNA from 1 species
UUAGAGUUUGAUCCUGGCUCAGGAUGAACGCUAGCGGCAGGCUUAAUACAUGCAAGUCGAGGGGCAGCGGGGGUGUAGCAAUACACUUGCCGGCGACCGGCAAACGGGUGCGGAACACGUACGCAACUUACCCAGAACUGGGGCAUAGCCCUCCGAAAGGAGGAUUAACACCCCAUAAGAUAGCAGAGUGGCAUCACUCAGCUAUUAAAACUCCGGUGGUUUUGGAUGGGCGUGCGGCCCAUUAGAUAGUUGGUGAGGUAACGGCUCACCAAGUCUGCGAUGGGUAACUGGUGUGAGAGCACGACCAGUCACACGGGCACUGAGACACGGGCCCGACUCCUACGGGAGGCAGCAGUAAGGAAUAUUGGUCAAUGGAGGCAACUCUGAACCAGCCAUGCCGCGUGGAGGAUGAAGGCCCUCUGGGCUGUAAACUUCUUUUGUAAGGGAAGAAAUGCAGACAUUCUUGUUUGUUUGACGGUACCUUAAGAAUAAGCACCGGCUAACUCCGUGCCAGCAGCCGCGGUAAUACGGAGGGUGCAAGCGUUAUCCGGAUUCACUGGGUUUAAAGGGUGCGUAGGCGGGCAGGUAAGUCAGUGGUGAAAUCUUGGGGCUUAACCCCGAAACUGCCGUUGAUACUAUCUGUCUUGAAUACUCGGGAGGUGAGCGGAAUAUGUCAUGUAGCGGUGAAAUGCUUAGAUAUGACA